rnacentral:lncRNA from 1 species
CCAAACAUAUACGUCCCCAAGAGACACGAUCACGGAUGUUUCGCCUUUAUAAACUUUUUGCAAAUGGAUAUUUUAUGCACAAUUUUUUUUUCUUUUUAACUCUUGAUUGUAUUCUAUAGUUACGUAUACACUAACCUUCGGUCGUUGAUAUAGUUUUACAAGUUACCUAUUUUUUUUUCCAAGAUUUUUCUCAUCUACCAAAUUAUAUACUUCCUCAACAAGAAACUGA